GCCUUGGCUUCUUAGAAGCCAGCCAGCCAGCCAGGAGGGACUGGGGUGGGCUUAGCCCAGUGGGGUGGAUCCUGCCAGAAAAUAAAAUGGAAAAACGGCUCUUUGGGAUCUGAAGAGGGAUACCUUGUUCCAAAGUGAUUCCCCAUACUUGGUGAGUCCCCAGAAUGGCUUUUCUCUAUGUCCCCUGCAUCUCCAUAAGCGCCCACUCUAGAGAACCUAGUCUGUGCAUUGAGGGGGUGCAUUCAGCACCCCUUUAAUAAUGAGCACCAAGGUGAUGAGUUUUAAAUCUUGUCCUAAAAGCGAUUUUGUUUGCUUUCCAGUCCUGUUGGUGAUUUUAAUUGAAUCCAAAUAGCAUUAGGCAAUGGGUUGGAGUCAUUUAUACCCAUUCCCUUACUCUUCAAUUCAGCAAGCUGCCAAAACAUCCCUCUCUUCCCUGGAUCCAAAAGAGAUCAUUUGAUAUCUUGUCCCUCUGCUGCUGUGGGUUUUGUUGUUGUUGUUGUUGUUGUUGUUUUGCUUUAUUUUGGUUUGUGGCAGUUAUCACUGUAAUAUGACAAUCUUGCUGCCUGGCUUUGCCCAGACCCUGGGGCCCGAAUGGGAAGUCAGACCGGACAUCAGUGGCCCAACUGAAUAAUCUGUGUCACUAGGGCUUUGAGCCCAGGAUGUGAGCGGAGGCAAUUCCCUGUUUUGGAAGAAAAUCAGACAGGAAACCAGUGCUAGGAAGAAGGAAGAGAACUCAGUCCAGCAGGGUGUAAUGGGGCCUCAUUACCGAAGCAAAAAGCAGCUGUGGGCUAAUUCCUAGCAUGCUGUAACACAUGAGGAUUUUGCAAUUAGUAAUAACUAGUGCACGGGCUUCUCGCAUAUACGCCUGCCUGCUUGGCCCGGCAGCUUGAGUGAGGUGCCUUUCAAACCAGAGGGAUUGGCAAGGAACUUGAAGCAUGAAAAAUAUUUCCUGUUCCAGUUAUAGUUUUAAUCUCAAAGGUUGGUCAUUGGCAAUUUUAUUUUGUCAAUAAUAGUUGCAUACACCUCCCCCUCCUGGCCUUUUCUGUUUAUUGUUGUUGUUUUCUCUCUCUUCUAACUUUCCUAGGAAAACACCUCCCAGAUAUAUGCCCUGCCUGGCUGCUCGACUAUUACCGCUUCAGAGCCUGAGCAUUACGCAAUCAGCCAGUUACACAAACACAGGUCAUUUCAUAACUUGUUUUCAUCAGCUGGGCCCCCUUUUAAUGAAAAAACAAAACAAAAACAAGACCCAGAACUUUUCCAAGGCUGCCAUUUGUCUGUUCCUCAGAUAACUUGUGAAAAUAAACCAAGAGGGACAGUUCCUUUCUGGAAUCAAGGAAUACCAGACUAGCUCUCGUCCUCGGCAACCGCCCUUUCCCAAGAGACAGACAGACACACACACACACACACACACACACACACACACACACAAAAUUCCCCGGAGUGAACUUUUGCCAACUGUACCAGGCUGGGACAUUCCUCACAUCAAAGAACUUUUACCAGAAAUGACUGUGAUUCCCAAGUCUGUCCCAAUCACACCUCUUUAGUGCCCCCUACGGGACAUUCUUAGAAGAGCUGUCUGGGGAAGGUAUUUUUCCAGCCUCAGACAGUGUUAACUUGGUGAGUUUUCGGAAUUCUUAGGAUUUUUUUCUUUUUAAUUCGGGAUAAAUAAAUGCCAUAUAUUUAA